AUGGUGCCACAUCAACAUAUCAGUUCCGAUAGCUCACGGAGAUACCGGUGCAAAAGGAGGCGUGCGGAUGUGCGCAACAUGCUAGAGAUGGUGGGGUGCUCCCGAAUUCCGGGUUCCCACGGGACGGUGGCAUGGCAAAAGAGGGGCAUCGCAAGGACGAUUCGAUCACGGUGCAAAACUCGAGCAUCUCAUACACACAUGCAUUCGAUCACGGUCGGUCAUCUCGGUGGUUAUACCUUUGAAGCGUGCGUUUCGGAGCGGGUCGAGUUUGACGAAGGAAGUAGUCAUUCACGGGUCGUAGGGGAAGUAGUCGUUCUCGCGGCGGCGGUAGUGGAAGUAGUUGUACACGUUUCGUAG
rnacentral:rRNA from 1 species